GAGUAACCUGCCCUUAACUCUGGGAUAAGCCUGGGAAACUGGGUCUAAUACCGGAUAGGAGCGCCCACCGCAUGGUGGGUGUUGGAAAGAUUUAUCGGUUUUGGAUGGACUCGCGGCCUAUCAGCUUGUUGGUGAGGUAAUGGCUCACCAAGGCGACGACGGGUAGCCGGCCUGAGAGGGUGACCGGCCACACUGGGACUGAAACACGGCCCACACUCCUACGGGAGGCAGCAUUGGGGAAUAUUGCACAAUGGGCGCAAGCCUGAUGCACCGACGCCGCGUGAGGGAUGACGGCCUUCGGGUUGUAAACCUCUUUCAGUAGGGAAGAAGCGAAAGUGACGGUACCUGCAGAAAAACCACCGGCUAACUACGUGCCAGCAG
rnacentral:rRNA from 1 species